CGAAAUACCAAACAAGAAGAUCAAGAAAAAGCAGAUAGUUCUGUAAAAAAAUCUGCCCAAGAGCCCGACAAUUUACAGGAUAAAUUUGACCCAGCCGAUGGCAAUAGACACAGUGCCACAGUUACUAAACCAAACAGGCAGGCUGCUCACUGUAAUGAAAACACUACUUUGCUAUAUGAUAGAAUUGACAGCGGAAAUUUGAGGGAGCACGAUGUUGAGGAAGAUUUUGGUCCUUGUAAUAACCAGGACACUGUUUCGAAUCAGCCGCAUUCCGAAAAGCAUGAUGGCUUACUAUUGUAUGCUAAAGAAGACAAACCCUUGGUCAUGGAUUUACGUCAGAAACUGGUGUCAAACUUGGGCGAAUACAUUGAUAAUCUAAAUAUUGUUCUUUAUGAUGAAUUCGCUCCAGAAGUGCAGUCCUAUUUUAAAACAACCGGGCAGGUGUUUCACAGAUGCAGAUUCUUGUUUGUAGUGGUAACCUCCAAUUUUAGAGAAGAUGAUCUAAUGAGGUACCAACAUGAAAUUGCUUUUAUGGAUUCAAUUAGAAAUCCAGCCAGCAAAGAAAGAGUUAUUCCUAUAUGGGCAGAGGAAGGUUCCCAAACUAUUUUGCCUGAACUUUCUGUACUUAGGGGAAUUGAAUAUGAACGUAAUCAAGUUAAUAUUCAAAAGUUUAAAACUACCUUCGAGUAUGGUAGGAGAAAAAUCCAUUUGUGAAAGCGUGUUUCCAUGUGUACUUAGAUUGAGUUAUUGACGUUUCAUUAAUGAGGUAAUUUGUGUAACAGAAGGAGAAAAAGAAGAAGAAUGUUUAACAUACAGUGGCAUUUGCCUCUUGUCUCUUAUAUAAUACAAAAUUGUAAGCUGUGAGAAAGAAUUUACAUGGUUGUAUUAUCAUUCCUGUGUUCUGUAUUUUCUGAUCCACUAAGAUUUGUAUGCAUUUUCUCAUUUUGUGCUUGUUUUGUUCAGUAAUGAUCAACAUCAAAUUCAAUACUUUGUUAUUAGGUCAUUAUGUACUCACACAGAACUUGCCUGUGCUUCAACUCAAACAUUUUGUUUUCUUUUUGCACUUGUUUAUAAUCCAUGUCUACUAACUUUUAAAUAAUUUUUUUCUUGAUGUAAUAGUUUUUUGAUGGUAACUGAUGAUCACAAAAAUGAAUUAAGAGAUUUAAUUUAAAUAUGUGCAAUGUACGUGUAUAUUAUGCCUUUGUCCAUGUAUCUGGGUAUAUAUCAUAAGGAAAACACAAUUUAGACCAUGUAGGUAAACAGGGGAAGAUUCAUGUGUGUCCACUCUUUUAACAUUAUAUUAGACAAAAGAUAAAAUUAGCCAGUUGGCAUUCUUUUAUUUCAAAGAGGCAAUUUCAUUUAAGAUUUUUAAGAAAACAUAUUUAUUGUAAUUCUGUUAUAUGCCGGUAUAUGUAAGUAAUUGGAUAUGUUGAAAAAAGUUCUAUUUCUCACAGUAAAGAGAUAAUUGAAAUGUAUAUAUAUUCCUAAUAUAAAAUCCGUUUACGAAGUUUUUAUCAACAGAUGUGUGUAAAAAUUAACAUGUUCAAAUCUUGGAAGAACUGCAAAAACUACAAUCAAAAUGUUUAUAAAUUUUACUUUGUGUUAAGGGGGAUGUGCUGUCAUCUUUUACAUUUGAGAAGAAAACUGUAAAAAUUUCUUGAACUGGCUUGUUUAUGUCGAAAACUUACUAAAACUGUUGUCAAAAGAUACAAAAGCAAUAAAUAUGACGUUCAACAUGUUA